rnacentral:rRNA from 1 species
GACGUAGGGCGCGAGCGUUGUCCGGAUUUAUUGGGCGUAAAGAGCUCGUAGGCGGCUUGUUGCGUCGACUGUGAAAACCCGCGGCUUAACUGCGGGCUUGCAGUUGAUACGGGCAGGCUAGAGUUCGGUAGGGGAGACUGGAAUUCCUGGUGUAGCGGUGAAAUGCGCAGAUAUCAGGAGGAACACCGGUGGCGAAGGCGGUUCUCUGGGCCUUACCUGACGCUGAGGAGCGAAAGCGUGGGGAGCGAACAGG